rnacentral:rRNA from 1 species
AUAUUUGGUCAAUUCCCUAACGGGUGAACCAGCGAUUUGAAGGAAUGAAUAUCAACAUUUGAAAUAUAAUUUGAAUAAAGUUCUGGGUAGGAUAAUGAUAAUGACAAUUUUCUAUCUAAAUGUCUUGACUAAUUCACGUGCCAGCAGUCGCGGUAAGACGUGAGAGACGAGCGUUAUUCAUCUUUAAUUGGUUUAAAGGGUUCCUAGACUGUAAUUCCUGCCUUAGUAUGGGAACAGAAUUACUAGAGUUUUAUGUGAAAAGUUUAGAAUUGGUGGUGUAGAGAUAAUAUACUAAAAUACCAUUAGGACUGGUAAAGGCGAAGGCAAACUUUUAUGUAGAAAC